AAACGACUGCUAAUACCGCAUAAUGUCUACGGACCAAAGUGGGGGACCUUCGGGCCUCACGCCAAAAGAUUAGCCCAAGUGGGAUUAGCUAGUUGGUAAGGUAAUGGCUUACCAAGGCAACGAUCCCUAGCUGGUUUGAGAGGAUGAUCAGCCACACUGGGACUGAGACACGGCCCAGACUCCUACGGGAGGCAGCAGUGGGGAAUAUUGCACAAUGGGCGCAAGCCUGAUGCAGCCAUGCCGCGUGUGUGAAGAAGGCCUUCGGGUUGUAAAGCACUUUCAGUAAGGAGGAAAGGGUANUCUUUAAUAGAGGNUAUCUGUGACGUUACUUACAGAAGAAGCACCGGCUAACUCCGUGCCAGCAGCCGCGGUAAUACGGAGGGUGCGAGCGUUAAUCGGAAUUACUGGGCGUAAAGCGUACGCAGGCGGUUUGUUAAGCGAGAUGUGAAAGCCCCGGGCUCAACCUGGGAACUGCAUUUCGAACUGGCAAACUAGAGUGUGAUAGAGGGUGGUAGAAUUUCAGGUGUAGCGGUGAAAUGCGUAGAGAUCUGAAGGAAUACCGAUGGCGAAGGCAGCCACCUGGGU
rnacentral:rRNA from 1 species